CGGUUUGGUCAGUCCUCCGGGAAAUCUGAUAGCUCAACUAUUAGGCUUUCGGGGGAUACUGCCAGACUUGGAACCGGGAGAGGUAAGAGGUACUACAGGGGUAGGAGUGAAAUCUUGUAAUCCCUGUGGGACCACCUGUGGCGAAGGCGUCUUACCAGAGCGGGUUCGACGGUGAGGGACGAAAGCUGGGGGCACGAACCGGAUUAGAUACCCGGGUAGUCCCAGCCGUAAACGAUGCUCGCUAGGUGUCAGGCAUGGCGCGACCGUGUCUGGUGCCGCAGGGAAGCCGUGAAGCGAGCCACCUGGGAAGUACGGCCGCAAGGCUGAAACUUAAAGGAAUUGGCGGGGGAGCACAACAACGGGUGGAGCCUGCGGUUUAAUUGGACUCAACGCCGGACAACUCACCGGGGGCGACAGCAAUAUGUAGGCCAAGCUGAAGACUUUGCCUGAAUCGCUGAGAGGAGGUGCAUGGCCGUCGCCAGUUCGUACUGUGAAGCAUCCUGUUAAGUCAGGCAACGAGCGAGACCCGUGCCCACUGUUACCAGCAUAUCCUUCGGGAUGAUGGGUACUCUGUGGGGACCGCCGGUGUCAAAUCGGAGGAAGGUGCGGGCCACGGUAGG
rnacentral:rRNA from 1 species